GACGAACGCUGGCGGCGUGCUUAACACAUGCAAGUCGAACGCUGAAGCUUGGUGCUUGCACUGGGUGGAUGAGUGGCUAACGGGUGAGUAAUACGUGAGUAACCUGCCCUUGACUCUGGGAUAAGCCUGGGAAACUGGGUCUAAUACUGGAUACGACAUGCCACUGCAUGGUGGUGUGUGGAAAGGGUUUUACUGGUUUUGGAUGGGCUCACGUCCUAUCAGCUUGUUGGUGGGGUAAUGGCCUACCAAGGCGACGACGGGUAGCCGGCCUGAGAGGGUGACCGGCCACACUGGGACUGAGACACGGCCCAGACUCGUACGGGAGGCAGCAGUGGGGAAUAUUGCACAAUGGGCGGAAGCCUGAUGCAGCGACGCCGCGUGAGGGAUGACGGCCUUCGGGUUGUAAACCUCUUUCAGCACGGAAGAAGCGAGAGUGACGGUACGUGCAGAAGAAGCGCCGGCUAACUACGUG
rnacentral:rRNA from 1 species